AUAUUGCACAAUGGAGGAAACUCUGAUGCAGCGAUGCCGCGUGGAGGAAGAAGGGNUUNNGAUUGNANACUCCUGUCUUCGGGNNNNNUAAUGACGGGACCCGAAGAGGAAGCUCCGGCUAACUACGUUCCAGCAGCCGCGGUAAUACGUAGGGAGCAAGCGUUGUCCGGAAUUACUGGGUGUAAAGGGAGCGUAGGCGGGAUAGCAAGUCAGGUGUGAAAACUAUGGGCUCAACCCAUAGAUUGCACUUGAAACUGCUGUUCUUGAGUGAAGUAGAGGUAAGCGGAAUUCCUAGUGUAGCGGUGAAAUGCGUAGAUAUUAGGAGGAACAUCAGUGGCGAAGGCGGCUUACUGGGCUUUUACUGACGCUGAGGCUCGAAAGCGUGGGGAGCAAACA
rnacentral:rRNA from 1 species